GCGUCCCUGCGGUGUUCGCGCAAAGGCCUUUUUGUUCCUUGAACCAAUGCGCAUUGCGCUAGGUCGCCGCGCUCGUGUCGUGGUGUGAUCGGCACGCGUUUGCUGAACCUAAACUACGCGGACGGCAACCAACCUGAACCCUAGGUUCAGGGCAACAGGCCGGGCGGCACGCGCGGGGAUUUU
rnacentral:other from 1 species